GAUGGUUCUUUAUCUACAAAUUUGCUUAUCACAUCUUUUAACUACCAUUUAUGUUAUUAGUGUAAUUCUUUAGCCAUUCCCAAAUAUAAAGUGGUUAAUCCGCGGAGGGGUCUAGCUAUUAAGUGAGAGGUUAUGUUUGCAAAUGGUCAAAAUGCUGAUGAGGGUGGAUUUGGAAUACAUUUGAUAGAUGUGGUCAAUAGAAUAGAAGUGGUGAUUGUUAGAGAUAGAUAAAAGAUUUGAUGAAUGAUUGAUAAACAGAGGAUCAUCCCUGAAGAAGAAUGGAUAUCACUUGGCAUUUACCUUAUUUCUGAAUGGCUCAGUAUCCAUUAUUGUGAUAUCUUGCAAUUUCCAUGUGACCAUGUUGACAUGUAUGCAUGGGAUAGGAUUUCAGGGUAUGCAUCAUGCAUGUGCAAACAUAGGUUUGUUCUUUACUUGGCAUAAUGGCAUUGUUUUUUAAGUAAUUGUGAUAUGAUAAGCACCAUUGGUUUGACUAACUAACGUUGUUUAAUGUUACUUAAAUGUUAGUCUGUCAUUGUGUUGGAAUAAGGAUAUCAAGAAACACAAGUUGGAAUUACUUCUUUUCUUUUGUAAGAGAAUUGAAUUUUGUAUAUCACAUACAUUAAUACGAGUAUAUAUUUACAGUAUGUUAAUAAUAAGACUGGAACUCACAAUCUAUAUUGAUUGAUAA